CGCACGGUGGCUUAGUGGUUAGCACUUUCACCUUACACCUCCAGUGUCGGGGGUUCGAUUCCCGCCGGGGCCG